CCGGACGGUAGUCCCCAUUCGUGUCGCUGCCGAAGGGCUGAAGCCCAUGCGAGGUCCAGCCAGGCGCAGCCCCGCCUAAGGCUGGCAAGAGCGCUAUCAGCAGGAUUUGCUUGUUGAGGGAUGCGCGAGGAUUG
rnacentral:SRP_RNA from 14 species